rnacentral:rRNA from 1 species
AGUGAACGCUGGCGGUAUGCCUAACACAUGCAAGUCGAACGACAACACAAUAAGAUCUUUCUCUUACGGGUAGCGAGUGGCGGACGGGUGAGGAGUACAUCGCAAUCUACUUUUUCGGGGGGAAUAUCGUGGGGACACUGACGCUAAUACAUAAUACGUCCUACGGCUUAAAUCAAUAGAUCUUCACAGCUUUCCCGUUUCUUUUAGCCGACGCCGGAUUAGCUAGUUGGCGUGGUAAAGGCACACCAAGGCAACGAUGCGUAGCUGACCUGAGAGGAUGAUCAGCCACACUGGAACUGAGACACGGUCCAGACUCCUACGGGAGGCAGCAGUGGGGAAUAUUGCACAAUGGGCGCAAGCCUGAUCCAGCCAUACCGCGUGGGUGAAGAAGGCCUUCGGGUUGUAAAACCCUGUUGUUGGGAAAGAAAAGAUGCGUAUGAAUAUAUGGACGUUCUGACGGUACCCAAAGAGAAAGCAACGGCUAACUUCGUG